GCCACUAUAGUCUAACAGUUACGAAGACGACUGCUUCUCCGAUGGCGGACAGCAGAAGAUGGAGGUUCGAAUCCUCCUAGUGGCG